rnacentral:rRNA from 1 species
AUUGAACGCUGGCGGCAUGCUUUACACAUGCAAGUCGAACGGUAACAGGCCGCAAGGUGCUGACGAGUGGCGAACGGGUGAGUAAUGCAUCGGAACGCGCCCAGUCGUGGGGGAUAACGCAGCGAAAGCUGUGCUAAUACCGCAUACGAUCUAUGGAUGAAAGCGGGGGACCGUAAGGCCUCGCGCGAUUGGAGCGGCCGAUGUCAGAUUAGGUAGUUGGUGGGGUAAAGGCGCACCAAGCCAACGAUCUGUAGCUGGUCUGAGAGGACGACCAGCAACACUGGGACUGAGAUACGGCCCAGACUCCUACGGGAGGCAGCAGUGGGGAAUUUUGGACAAUGGGCGCAAGCCUGAUCCAGCAAUGCCGCGUGCAGGAAGAAGGCCUUCGGGUUGUAAACUGCUUUUGUACGGAACGAAAAGGUUUGGGUUAAUACCCUGGGCCGAUGACGGUACCGUAAGAAUAAGCACCGGCUAACUACGUGCCAGCAGCCGCCGUAA